UACGGGGGGGGCAAGCGUUGUUCGGAAUUACUGGGCGUAAAGGGCUCGUAGGUGGCCAACUAAGUCGGACGUGAAAUCCCUCGGCUUAACCGGGGAACUGCGUCCGAUACUGGUUGGCUUGAGUUUGGGAGAGGGAUGCGGAAUUCCAGGUGUAGCGGUGAAAUGCGUAGAUAUCUGGAGGAACACCGGUGGCGAAGGCGGGUCUCUGGGCAUCUCCUGACGCUGAGGCGCGAAAGCGUGGGGAGCAAACAGG
rnacentral:rRNA from 1 species